rnacentral:rRNA from 1 species
GACGAACCGAGCGAACGUUGUUCGGAAUCACUGGGCUUAAAGGGCGCGUAGGCGGGUGCUCAAGUCCGGGGUGAAAUCCUCCAGCUCAACUGGAGAACUGCCUCGGAUACUGGGUGUCUCGAGGGUGGUAGGGGGUAUGCGGAACUAUCGGUGGAGCGGUGAAAUGCGUUGAUAUCGAUAGGAACUCCGGUGGCGAAGGCGGCAUACUGGACCACAUCUGACGCUGAGGCGCGAAAGCCAGGGGAGCAAAACGGG